GAUGAACGCUGGCGGUGUGCCUAAUACAUGCAAGUCGAGCGAACAGACGAGGAGCUUACUCCUCUGACGUUAGCGGCGGACGGGUGAGUAACACGUGGAUAACCUACCUAUAAGACUGGGAUAACUUCGGGAAACCGGAGCUAAUACCGGAUAACAUGUUGAACCGCAUGGUUCAACAGUGAAAGACGGUCUUGCUGUCACUUAUAGAUGGAUCCGCGUCGCAUUAGCUAGUUGGUAAGGUAACGGCUUACCAAGGCAACGAUGCGUAGCCGACCUGAGAGGGUGAUCGGCCACACUGGAACUGAGACACGGUCCAGACUCCUACGGGAGGCAGCAGUAGGGAAUCUUCCGCAAUGGGCGAAAGCCUGGCGGAGCAACGCCGCGUGAGUGAAGAAGGUCUUCGGAUCGUAAAACUCUGUUAUUAGGGAAGAACAAAUGUGUAAGUAACUAUGCACGUCUUGACGGUACCUAAUCAGAAAGCCACGGCUAACUACGUG
rnacentral:rRNA from 1 species